AAACUCGCUGGUUUUCUAAUUCCCGUUGAGACGAGCCUAACUUUACCGCUUAAAACCAUAGAGCCACAACAAUUCUACUACUUAAAAGAUCUGUAGUGGUGAUGGUGAAGCUAAUGUAGACUCAUGAUCCAACUUAAAAACGUAGACACGUGACCGUGAAAAAAAAAAAACGAACGCUUCACAGCGACGCGCAACAGAAGCGAUCCGAAAUCAGCGCAACAGAAGCCCCCAAUCCAUCUUCGCGCAUCCCCACAUCGCCGCGCCCGCUCCACUCUUCCACCCCCGGCGCCGCUGACCCCUCCCCAGCUCCCGCCUCCCGGUCUCCCUCGACCCAUCCCCGCCGCUUGAAGCCCUCCCGUCGCGCCUCACGGUCUCCAUCACGCCGGCUCGCCCUCGACAGAUCCCCGGAAGCCCUCCCGUCGCCAGUUCGUCGCACACACCUACCUUGCCGAUCUGCUCCUCGCCGCCACUGUCGGCGCCCGCAUCCACGACGCCGCCGUCAUCCCUUGGUAGUUUGAUGUCUUCUCCUUCUCCUCAAGAUGGAUCCAAAUGUGCCAAAUGCGUUUAUUAGCAAAGCGAACAAACUGGGGAUGGCGCCACGACCUGCUUGUGCUGGAGACAGAGGACCCCUCGUCCUCCUCCUCCUCCUCCUCCUCGCCGUGCCUCCCUGACCCGCCGCCGCUUCCACCCUCAAGCGCCACCGCACGUCGCACGAGACCCCACUUCCUCCCGCUCCCCCCGCUGCCGCGCCUCGCUGACCUGUCGCCUUUAAACCUUGCGCCGGUUCCACCUUCUCCGAGGUCGCUGCCUCCCUAGAGGGCCGGCCAGAGGUCGCCGUGGAGUCCUUGAAAGAGGAGGAGGAGGAGGAGGAGAGACGGUGCCAUAUGCGUUGCAUCACACGCGGGCGCCGUCGCUACCUCGAGCACCGUAUGUGCGAUUGCAGCCGCCUCCGCUCGCCAUGAGAACAAUAGCGUGUCUUGGUGCUACCAUGCCGAGUGAUCUAGGAGUACUCCCUUUUUUCUGUGGAAUUUCUCCAGGUUUUAGUUGAGUGCUUGGGACUAAACAGUACUGUAGCAAGCAUUAUCGGCCUAUUUUGUUCGCAGAGUGAAGACCAUGGAUGCAGCAUGCAUGCAGAGUUGCAGACUGAAGACAGGCCAUCAUUCUUCAGUCUACCACGAGAUAGCGGCGCAAAUGCUUGAUUCACUUGUGAGAAUCACUUCUUUCAACUUCCAACCUGAUUUUAGAGCAACAGUGCCUCACCAAUUGAAAUCAACCGAUCAACAUAUAUGUCACUGGUUCUCCCAUCUAUUAGAUAUAGUUCUGAAUUUUUAAACAAAAUGACUAUUUGUGUGCUGUGAGUACAACAAAAAUGAGCUCAAGAAAAGCUAUCUCUAUCAACAUUAGCGAAAAAAAAGCACACUUAAAGCCUUUACAAAAAAAAAAUAUAUGAAGUCUUUACAAGUGUAAACAUUUCUGAAAUUGCCUGGUGAGCGAUUAAAAUGUUUUUCUUGUGGUGCCUUCAGAGAGUUUGAUAUGUUUCUAUAUAUUUUUACAUGUGUGCCAUUUUCUGCUGCCCCGAACAUUGAUCUGAGAGUAAUCAAAUUCCUUGAAUAGUUUAACUUCUAAAUGUUCAAAAAUAAAGGGAGCGCCAUGGAAGUCAAAUUAGUGAAAAUCUUAGGUAUCCUGCAGUGUGUAUGGGGGCACUGUGCAAUAUGAUGUUGCAUGCAGUAUACUAUCAUUCUUUUAAAAGUAUCUUCUCGGAAUAAUUUCUUAUUUCCAAAUAUUCUCAGAUACACUUUCAAUAAUGUAGAUAUGAGAUAUUAUGUGCGAAUGGCCACCCCAAGAUAAUAUACUUCAGGAUAUGCAAAAUCAGUUGGAGAAUGCAAAUUCGGUUGUUCUCUUUCAUCCCUCAUAUAUGCAUAUGUUUCUUAAAUAAUUUACAAAAUUACUGUUCAGUAGUGGAGUAAAUAAAUAUGAAUGACGGUACCUGUCAUUAUGCACAUGUUCUCUAAACACAUUUCAUGAAUGACAAGGUAAUUUUUGGUAAUAUUGUUUGGCAGCGAGUAUUUGGGUACAAUGUACUAAAGUUAAUCAAUAUGUGUGGCAUAUGCAUUGUUUUUCAUUGUUAAGGUUCGAACAACUGAAGGCAAGUAAGAUGAAAGACCUUGUUUGAAAAGGGAAAGCUGAACUGGAAGAGCAUAGAAGAUGCGCUCAUCUAAUUAGCCAGGAAGGUUAUGCAGCUGAGUUUAGCAUUGAAGUUAUUGAAGUGCAGGGACGUAUGCGUUUUGCAGGCUGAGCACAUGAAGAAUCCCAGUUAAUGUCUCUUUAACUUCCAUCCAUAAGGAGACUCGUGCACUUUCCUGACACCCUAGCACAAGUUAUUACGCUGUGCAGACUUUUGGCUAUACAUUAAGCAAGAUGCAGCAAGUAUUUUGGAUUGAUGAUCUGUAAGAUUUGAGUUCAGCUCAUGCUCGUUGAUAGCACAUGACACAUCGGUUGAAUAACUGUGUUCAUUUAACUCUGGACCUACAUAUACAUAAUUUCCUCUUACUUUGAUUCCUUGGCUCAAAAGGCUCACAGAAGCCUAUAUUUUGCAAUUAAGCAACAAGAAGCAGGGCUUGAUUUGCAUUCCGAUUCAGGUAAGGUAACAGCUGACUUCGAGUUUUUUUUUAAUUGGUGCAUUAUCCAUGAAACCCUUUUCCAGUUUCCAGUAUUCUUUUGUUAAAUUUUCUGAUAACUUAAUAGGAAAGACAUUAAUUAACUAUGCAUCACCUGCUCUAUAUAUAAUAUAACUAUAGGACAUUGAAUAUUUUAUUUCAUUGCACUAAAAUAUAAUCAAUGUUGGCCUAUUUUUAUGAAUAUAUUAUUCUGGCAUGUCACUACAAGAUCUAAGUAAUACUGAUAUUUUGAUCCAUGGGUGCUUUAUAAGAUCUAAGAAAUUAAUUAUACUUGAUCUCAGGGUCUGAAGAAAUUAAACCUUAACAACAUUGUGAAAUAUAGUGAGACUGAAUCUUGGAGAUAAAUUACUGAAGAACUGAACUAUUAUUAUGAGUAUAAUUUACUUUCUGAUCUUUUAACAAAUAAGGAUAUUGUUUAUUAGUGGUUCUAGAUUUGGUUACCUUGCGUCCUUGCCUUUUAUUCAUCAGUGCAAUUAGGGCCAAGCUUUUGCGUGGCCUUGUCAGAGAGAUGAAAAAGUACAUAUGCAGUGCAUCACUUAUAAUUGGUUGUGCAACCUCCUCAUCCGCAUGCUAAGUACAAUGAGUUGAAGAUGAUGUGCUGCAAGUACGCCCUUUCCACCAUCUGAUUAUGUACACAUUUUUAUAUAUUUCGGUACAUCCGAUUAUAUACACAUCAAUAUAAAUUGUUUUUACGCAUUCUUAUAUAUUUCCGUGCCACCUACUAUGUAAAUGAGCAAAAAAAAUAAUUUGUUUCUUACAUAUAUUAUUUACAAUUAUUUUUCUCCACUUCUAUAGGAUUGACAUAUUGUUUUCCAAAGGAAACAUAAUAGAUCGGGCAGUUUCUGUGAGCUGGAUCAGUACGGGCAUAUGUGCUAACUGCCUCCUAUGCAGUUGUGCUUUGCACAACGAAGUGAGUGUGGUUCAUCUUUAGAGCCAUGUUCAAAGAGAGUUUGGGUGUUGAUCAAUUGUGAGAAAAUCAUGUGUAGAAAUGCCUUGGGAUGAUGUCUAAAAUAGGGCAUUGUAUUCAUUUCCCGUGAAUUGCUGCACAAAUAUUUUUUGAUGUACUUUAUGGUGCAACAUGCAUCUAUUGACACUUUCUACUUUAAACAUAUUAAAAAUAUUUGAUGUA